rnacentral:rRNA from 1 species
AAUCAACGCUGGCGGCGUGCCUAACACAUGCAAGUCGAACGAGAAAGGGGGCUUCGGUCCCUGAGUACAGUGGCGCACGGGUGAGUAACACGUGACUUAUCUACCCUCGAGUGGGGAAUAACUUCGGGAAACCGAGGCUAAUACCGCAUAAUACCCACGGGUCAAAGGAGCAAUUCGCUUGAGGAGGAGGUCGCGGCCGAUUAGUUAGUUGGCGGGGUAAUGGCCCACCAAGACGGUGAUCGGUAUCCGGCCUGAGAGGGCGCACGGACACACUGGAACUGAAACACGGUCCAGACUCCGUACGGGAGGCAGCAGGUGGGGUAAUUUUGCGCAAGUACGGGGAAACCCUGACGCAGCAACGCCGCGUGGAGGAUGAAGUCUCGUUGGGACGUAAACUCCUUUCGAUCGGGACGAUUAUGACGGUACCGGAAGAAGAAGCACCGGCUAACUCCGUG